UGGCUCAGUGGUUGAGAGCACUGACUGCUCUUUCAGAGGACCUGAGUUCAAUUCUCAG
rnacentral:tRNA from 1 species